GAUGAACGCUGGCGGUAUGCCUAAUACACGCAAGUCGAACGAGAGGAAGGAAAGCUUGCUUUCCUGAAUCUAGUGGCGAACGGGUGAGUAACACGUAGGUAACCUGCCCAUGUGCCCGGGAUAACUUCUGGAAACGGAUGCUAAAACCGGAUAGGUAGCAGACAAGCAUUUGACUGCUAUUAAAGUGGCCUUGGCCAUGAACAUGGAUGGACCUGCGGUGCAUUAGCUAGUUGGUGAGGUAACGGCCCACCCAGGCGACGAUGCAUCGCAGGCCUAGGAGGGCGGACGACCACAUUGGGACUGGGACACGGCCCAAACUGCUACGGGAGGCAGCAGUAUGGAAUUUUCGUCAAUGGGGGGAACCCUGAAUGAGCAAUGCCGCGUGAGUGAGGAAGGUCUUCGGAUCGUAAAGCUCUGUUGUAAGAGAAAAACGGCACUCAUAGGGAAUGAUGAGUGAGUGAUGGUAUCUUACCAGAAAGUCACGGCUAACUACGUGCCAGCCGCCGCCGUAAUAC
rnacentral:rRNA from 1 species